rnacentral:rRNA from 1 species
UACAGAGGGUGCGAGCGUUGUCCGGAAUCACUGGGCGUAAAGGGCGCGUAGGUGGCGGGCCAAGUCCAUGGUGAAAGCUCGAUGCUCAACAUCGAGUCGGCCACGGAUACUGGUUCGCUGGAGCACUGUAGAGGCUAAUGGAAUUCCGGGUGUAGCGGUGGAAUGCGUAGAGAUCGGGAGGAAUACCCGUGGCGAAGGCGGCCUGCUGGGAUACACCUGACGCUGAGACACGAAGGCGUGGGGAGCGAACGGG